GGGUUUGUAGCUCAGCUGGUUAGAGCACCGUCUUGAUAAGGCGGGGGUCGUUGGUUCGAGUCCAACCAGACCCA
rfam:Aquaspirillum sp. LM1, complete genome.